AACGAACGCUGGCGGCAGGCCUAACACAUGCAAGUCGAACGCCCCGCAAGGGGAGUGGCGCACGGGUGAGUAACGCGUGGGAAUAUGCCCUUCGGUUUGGAAUAACACAGGGAAACUUGUGCUAAUACCGGAUACGAUCUACGGAUGAAAGAUUUAUCGCCGAGGGAGUAGCCCGCGUAGGAUUAGCUAGUUGGUGAGGUAAUGGCUCACCAAGGCGACGAUCCUUAGCUGGUCUGAGAGGAUGAUCAGCCACACUGGGACUGAGACACGGCCCAGACUCCUACGGGAGGCAGCAGUGGGGAAUAUUGGACAAUGGGCGAAAGCCUGAUCCAGCCAUGCCGCGUGAGUGAUGAAGGCCUUAGGGUUGUAAAGCUCUUUCGCCAGGGAAGAUAAUGACGGUACCUGGAAAAGAAGCCUCGGCUAACUCCGUGCCAGCCGCCGCAGUAA
rnacentral:rRNA from 1 species